rnacentral:rRNA from 1 species
CCUACGGGAGGCAGCAGUGAGGAAUAUUGGUCAAUGGGCGGGAGCCUGAACCAGCCAAGCCGCGUGAGGGAAGAAGGUCCAGCGUAUCGUAAACCUCUUUUGUCAGGGAACAAAGGCGGGGACUAGUCCCCGGAUGAGGGUACCUGAAGAAAAAGCAUCGGCUAACUCCGUGCCAGCAGCCGCGGUAAUACGGAGGAUUCGAGCGUUAUCCGGAUUUAUUGGGUUUAAAGGGUGCGCAGGCGGCCUGUUACGUCAGCGGUAAAAGCCCGGGGCUCAACCCCGGCGAGCCGUUGAAACUGGCGGGCUGGAGUUGGAGAGAAGUACGCGGAAUGCGCGGUGUAGCGGUGAAAUGCUUAGAUAUCGCGCAGAACCCCGAUUGCGAAGGCAGCGUACCGGCUCCACACUGACGCUGAGGCACGAAAGCGUGGGUAGCGAACAGGAUUAGAUACCCGAGUAGUC